rnacentral:lncRNA from 1 species
AAAAAAAAUAGACUCCCUAGUGUGAAAAUGGAUGGGGGCAGAAACCCACUCUGGUGCCUUUUGGUAGUACUGCUGUUCUGAAAAAGUCUUCAUACUCUACAGCUGUGGACUUGCAGUUCUUGGAAUGUGUAAUCUUCCAUAAAGGAAGAUUAUUGAGAAGAACUUGAUAUUACAGGUCUUCUGCUGAGCCUAUUUCUUUCUUCUAUGAAGACAGUGCUGACACCCGUCAAGAUUUGAGAGGUAAGAUACUUUUUGAUAUUUUUUUACUCUCUGACAGAUGGUGUAGUUUGUUGUC